UCCGGCAUGGUCUAAUGGGUAGGAUACCUGGUUUUCACCCAGGAGGCCCGGGUUCGAUUCCCGGCGUCGGAA
rnacentral:tRNA from 1 species